GGGGACGAAUUUGGUUUCGACUGUUGUAGUUAAGGUGUGGUGGCAUGUAGGGGUGAGGGGCCUCUUAAAAACCUUCAAAACAUUAAACGCUAACAACGAAUUAGCACUAGCAGCUUAAUCUCUGCUUCGGAAAGAUAGCUUACUCUCCCGGUGGCUUUCUCUCUGUCUCAAACGGGAGACUUCUUGGAUCGGUUAUCGGUUCCCGUUUUAAGGAGUACUUGGACCGGAUAGAAAGGACACGCCUGCUUAUGGGCUAAGGCCUUUCGAGAUUUAAAACAUAAGACAAACACGUAGAGGCCGCAUUGAGACGCAAUAGGACCCGGGUUCGAACCCCGGCGUCUCCAAUU
rnacentral:tmRNA from 1 species